CCUACGGGAGGCAGCAGUGAGGAAUAUUGGUCAAUGGACGAGAGUCUGAACCAGCCAAGUAGCGUGAAGGAUGACUGCCCUAUGGGUUGUAAACUUCUUUUAUAUGGGAAUAAAACGUUCCACGUGUGGGAUUUUGUAUGUACCAUAUGAAUAAGGAUCGGCUAACUCCGUGCCAGCAGCCGCGGUAAUAUGGAGGAUCCGAGCGUUAUCCGGAUUUAUUGGGUUUAAAGGGAGCGUAGGUGGAUUGUUAAGUCAGUUGUGAAAGUUUGCGGCUCAACCGUAAAAUUGCAGUUGAAACUGGCAGUCUUGAGUACAGUAGAGGUGGGCGGAAUUCGUGGUGUAGCGGUGAAAUGCUUAGAUAUCACGAAGAACUCCGAUUGCGAAGGCAGUUCACUGGACUGCAACUGACACUGAGGCUCGAAAGUGUGGGUAUCAAACAGGAUUAGAUACCCCAGUAGUC
rnacentral:rRNA from 1 species